ensembl:rRNA 5S_rRNA 5S ribosomal RNA
GCCAGCAGCCAUAUCACCCUGCAACUCAGCACUGGCAACCCACUGAAGCUAAGCAGGUGUGAGCUUGGUCAGUACCUGGAUGGGAGACUGCCAGGGAAAAACUAAGGUUGCUGCUGGAG